AACCAAAGCAUUAAACCUGCAAAAUUGUCAGAAGAAAACACUCCUCUGCCAGUGUUCAGCAUGUGGGGACUCAGGGUCGAGGUGGAUCUGACAUAAAGAUCAUGACGGCAAAGGAGACAGACACAACAUGAUGACACGGAUACCAAUAGAGUCAUUCAGCUCCAUCUGCCUUACAGACAUCGACAGAUCCCAGUGAAGAGACAUUGUUU
rnacentral:lncRNA from 1 species